ACUCCUGCGGGAGGCAGCAGUGGGGAAUAUUGGACAAUGGGCGCAAGCCUGAUCCAGCCAUGCCGCGUGAGUGAUGAAGGCCCUAGGGUUGUAAAGCUCUUUCACCGGUGAAGAUAAUGACGGUAACCGGAGAAGAAGCCCCGGCUAACUUCGUGCCAGCAGCCGCGGUAAUACGAAGGGGGCUAGCGUUGUUCGGAUUUACUGGGCGUAAAGCGCACGUAGGCGGACUAUUAAGUCAGGGGUGAAAUCCCGGGGCUCAACCCCGGAACUGCCUUUGAUACUGGUAGUCUUGAGUUCGAGAGAGGUGAGUGGAAUUCCGAGUGUAGAGGUGAAAUUCGUAGAUAUUCGGAGGAACACCAGUGGCGAAGGCGGCUCACUGGCUCGAUACUGACGCUGAGGUGCGGAAGCGUGGGGAGCAAACAGGAUUAGAUACCCCUGUAGUCCCAUGAU
rnacentral:rRNA from 1 species